UACAGAGGGUGCGAGCGUUGUUCGGAAUUAUUGGGCGUAAAGCGCUCGUAGGCGGCUUGUCGCGUCGGAUGUGAAAGCCCGGGGCUUAACUCCGGGUCUGCAUUCGAUACGGGCAGGCUAGAGUGUGGUAGGGGAGAUCGGAAUUCCUGGUGUAGCGGUGAAAUGCGCAGAUAUCAGGAGGAACACCGGUGGCGAAGGCGGAUCUCUGGGCCAUUACUGACGCUGAGGAGCGAAAGCGUGGGGAGCGAACAGG
rnacentral:rRNA from 1 species